ensembl:lncRNA
CACAGUGCGGCGUAAAACACUCAGAGGAAAGCACUAUCCACACUCUUCUGCAUACAUGAGCUUUCUCAUGAAGAGAGGGUAUGCCAUAACACCCACCCUAAGAGCAUGGCCAAUUAUGCUCUCCCCAGGACUGAAAGAAUGGUUAUUUGAGUUACUGUAGACUUCCUGUCUCUCAAAUCAGCUUGAACCAGUCUGGCCAUGCUUCUCUGACCUACAUAAAAACCCUGGAGGUCAGUAGUUUCUGAAACACUCAGUGGUAUCCACAUAAAUACCUUAAGAUGCGCAAGUUACAUUCUACACCAAAUUAGUGUCAUUUAUUGAAAUAACUAUGGACGUGUACUAUAUAUCAUGUAAAACAUACAAAUCCUGGUCAAAAUAUCACACGCAUUCCUUAUGUAAGAUUAUGUCCGCAACCUCAGGCAUUACACUGCCUGCAGCUGUACAUUUCCUAUCAUCAUCUUGAUAAGCAUUAAUAAGCAUAGUAAAUGUGUGUGCAAAUAUACAUGAUGAGUCAUUGAAAACACUUCAGCUAACCUGUGAGAUCAUCAUGACUACUAUUGCUAAAACAGAUGCUAUGAGGAAAAAAAAAAGUCUUUGUCACUGCACUGGGCUCUGUGAUGAGCAAAAUAAAAUUUAGCCAACACAAUUUGGCCCUUGAGUCAGUCAGAUCCUUACACUUGCCCAUUUUUCCUGCUUCCAACACAUCAACUUGCUGCCUAAUUGUCAUAUAUCAAGGUGGAACUCUGGACUUCAGUUCCCAUCAGACACUGCACUGUACUACAUGUCACAUGACCACUUGCACCUGAAUCACGUUUCUGUUAAUGAGCCCACUUAUAUAUAGCCAUUGUUUGCACUGUUUCUCUGCCUUUUCGUUUGUCUUAGACUACCGUGUUCCAUGUUACCAUGUUUAUUGAUCUUGUUAGUUUAUGUUUAGUUUUGCCAUAGUAUUAUGCCAAGUUGUCUUAGUGUCUUUGUUUUUUGUUGUUUAUUCAAAUAAACUAUUUGAAAAUCUG